rnacentral:rRNA from 1 species
GAUGAACGCUGGCGGCGUGCCUAAUACAUGCGAGUCGAGCGAAUGGAUUAAGAGCUUGCUCUUAUGAAGUUAGCGGCGGACGGGUGAGUAACACGUGGGUAACCUGCCCAUAAGACUGGGAUAACUCCGGGAAACCGGGGCUAAUACCGGAUAAUAUUUUGAACUGCAUGGUUCAAAAUUGAAAGGCGGCUUCGGCUGUCACUUAUGGAUGGACCCGGGUCGCAUUAGCUAGUUGGUGAGGUAACGGCUCACCAAGGCAACGAUGCGUAGCCGACCUGAGAGGGUGAUCGGCCACACUGGGACUGAGACACGGCCCAGACUCCUACGGGAGGCAGCAGUAGGGAAUCUUCCGCAAUGGACGAAAGUCUGACGGAGCAACGCCGCGUGAGUGAUGAAGGCUUUCGGGUCGUAAAACUCUGUUGUUAGGGAAGAACAAGUGCUAGUUGAAUAAGCUGGCACCUUGACGGUACCUAGCCAGAAAGCCACGGCUAACUACGUGCCAGCCGCCGCAGUAA